rnacentral:misc_RNA from 1 species
GCCAACCUUCCUCCCCCAUGU